UACAGAGGGUGCAAGCGUUGCUCGGAAUCAUUGGGCGUAAAGGGCGCGUAGGCGGCCCGCUAAGUCGAACGUGAAAUCCCCAGGCUCAACCUGGGAACUGCGUCCGAUACUGGCAGGCUUGAAUUCGGGAGAGGGAUGUGGAAUUCCAGGUGUAGCGGUGAAAUGCGUAGAUAUCCGGAGGAACACCGGUGGCGAAGGCGGCUUCCUGGACCGACACUGACGCUGAGGCGCGAAAGCUAGGGGAGCAAACGGG
rnacentral:rRNA from 1 species